rnacentral:lncRNA from 1 species
CACCCCCUCACUUUAAAUCUGGAGGUGCCUUGGGUCUAAAAUGAGUCUCUUGCAGAAAGCGUAUCAAUGGUUCUUGUUUUUUUCUAUCCAUUCUGAUGCCCUGUGUCUUUUGAUUGGGGGCAUUUAGUGCAUUUAAAUUCAGUAGAGUCAUUUUCAACAUUGUUAACUUCAGUAAAACCAAGAGUCUAUAUAGAGAUGGGAUGGCCCCUAUGGUGAAAUCUACAAGCAGACCCAAAUGACAAGGAAUCUAAGCCCACAGAGGAACUGUGACUCAUCCAAGAUAAUACCACUAGGACAAGCUGGAAUUGAGGCUUUUGCCAGGCUUUUGACUCCUAAUCCAAUAACCUUAUAUACAGGAAUCCUACCUCAACUCCUACCCCACUUUUCUAUUGAGAUUGAUCCUGGGGACAGAAGCGAGAUAGAAUAUUUAUACUUUACAUACCUACGGUUUGUUUACCCAUGCAAUCAGAGGAAGUAGUACACUCAGUUUCUACAGAGUUGAAGUGUUUUCCAGAGUCUAGGAGGAACAAGACACUUAAGUGAGAAUCAAUAACAACUAAAUAUAGAUGAAUGGAGGUUGUUUAAGGGACACAAAGAACAAGGAAGACGAGGAGCAGCCUUAUUUACAAAGGAAAAGUUCUAUGAUGCCUUCUUCUAUGUCCUUGAAAAAGGAAAUAGAAAACUUCUAAGGAGUCACUGUGGCAUCAAAUUAAAUCCAUGUAGGGAAGCAAGAAGAAAUGAAUUUUCAGGAGGCUAUCAAUCAAAGCCCUAGGUCUAAAAGGAGAUAUGAGGCACAGGAAAGAUAGAGUUGAUCUGCCCCAUGGUUUAUAUCCCAGAAGCAUGAGGCUCAGAGCACAGAACUACCAGUCCAUACUGGUAGUAGUCUAGUACUUCUCUCUGAAUAGUUAUGCGCGGAAAUAAGGAAAAAGUCAUAUGAUGAAGCAUCAGGAGAUAAAU